rnacentral:rRNA from 1 species
UCUGAAUCUGCGAACGGCUCCGCAAACCAGUUGUAAACUAUAGCAAGCAAGCUCAGGGUUGGCCUUCACGGGCCGGCUCGGGGCGAUAUGGAUAACCCUGGUAAUUCUGAGGCUAAUACAUGAGUGUAAACCCUGGAGGACCGGCUUCGGCUGGGAAUCUGGGGGAUGUGCGAUUGCAGGCUUGGUAACACCGGGAAAGGGCGCACGUUCAGAUCACGCUAAAAAGGUCGGGCUCCUUCGGGGGCCUGCCCCAGUGACUCUUGCUGUGUGCUUCUGACCUAUCAACUAGACGGCAGCGUAAGGGACAUGCUAUGGU